rnacentral:rRNA from 1 species
UACGAGAGGUGCAAGCGUUGUCCGGAUUUAUUGGGCGUAAAGCGUUUCUAAAGGCGCUUUUGUAAGUUGUUUUUCAAAGACCGAGGCUCAACCUCGGGAAGGGAGGCAAUACUGCAAGAGUUGAAAUAUUUCGGGGUUACUAGAACUAUUGGUGUAGGGGUGAAAUCCGUUGAUAUCAAUAGGAAUUCCAAGGGCGAAGGCAGGUAACUAGGAAUUUUUUGACGCUGAUGAACGAAAGCUAGGGGAGCGAAAGGG